rnacentral:rRNA from 1 species
AUUGAACGCUGGCGGCAGGCCUAACACAUGCAAGUCGAGCGGAUGAAGGGAGCUUGCUCCUGGAUUCAGCGGCGGACGGGUGAGUAAUGCCUAGGAAUCUGCCUGGUAGUGGGGGAUAACGUCCGGAAACGGGCGCUAAUACCGCAUACGUCCUGAGGGAGAAAGUGGGGGAUCUUCGGACCUCACGCUAUCAGAUGAGCCUAGGUCGGAUUAGCUAGUUGGUGGGGUAAAGGCCUACCAAGGCGACGAUCCGUAACUGGUCUGAGAGGAUGAUCAGUCACACUGGAACUGAGACACGGUCCAGACUCCUACGGGAGGCAGCAGUGGGGAAUAUUGGACAAAGGGCGAAAGCCUGAUCCAGCCAUGCCGCGUGUGUGAAGAAGGUCUUCGGAUUGUAAAGCACUUUAAGUUGGAAGGAAGGGCAGUAAGUUAAUACCUUGCUGUUUUGACGUUACCAACAGAAUGAGCACCGGCUAACUUCGUG